UAGUACACUGCAAGUGAAUGUGUUGAUGUUAACCAAUGAAUCAUGAAUCCCACAAAAUCGAAAGAAAAAAAAAUAAAGAAAGAGGCACACUAACAGUAUUGGCGGCUUCUUUGAGCUGUGGUGAAGCAGAGCAGUCCCAUGGCGGCUUUCUCAUGGAGCUCUCGCGCAUCCCUUCCGAGCCUUCCCAAAUUCUCCUACCGCCGAUUCCAUUCCCAUCCACACCAAAUCAAUGUAACCCCUAAAUCAAUGCCAAACAAUCCCUUAUCAUCAUUAACCUCAACCUGCAAACGCUGCAACGUGUUCAGCGAAGAGUUCAUCGGAGGCGUGGCGGAGGACGAGGGUUACAGCUCCAUGGACGAUAAGCUCUUCGUCCGUUGGUUUCGUGAGACCUGGCCUUACCUGUGGGCCCACCGUGGCGCCACCUUCGUCGUCAUCGUUUCCGGUGAAAUUGUCGCUAGUCCAUUCCUGGAUCCCAUUUUAAAGGAUAUAGCCUUCCUUCAUCACUUGGGAAUCCGGUUUGUUAUUGUUCCGGGGACCCAUGUGCAAAUUGACAACCUUUUGCGUGAGAGAGGGUGCCAGCCUAAGUAUAAUGGUACAUAUAGGAUAACUGAUGAUGAGUCUCUAGCAGCUGCAAUGGAAGCAGCUGGGAGAAUAAGGUUGAUGAUUGAAGCAAAACUUUCUCCUGGGCCCUCCAUUUGCAAUGUCCGACGACAUGGUGAUAAUAGCCGUUUGCAUGAAGUUAGUGUUAGUGUUGCCAGUGGGAACUUUCUUGCAGCCAAGAGAAGAGGAGUUGUCAAAGGAAUUGAUUAUGGAUCAACUGGGGAGGUUAAAAAAGUAGAUGUUUCUCGCAUGCGAGAGAGGCUUGAUGGCGAUUGUAUUGUUAUUUUAAGCAACUUGGGCUACUCCAGCUCUGGAGAAGUAUUAAAUUGCAAUACUUAUGAAGUUGCAACAGCUUGUGCCUUGGCUAUAGGAGCAGACAAGCUUAUAUGUGUUAUAGAUGGUCCGAUACUUGAUGAGAGUGGCCACCUUAUUCGUUUCUUGACCCUUCAAGAGGCAGACAUGCUAAUUCGUAAACGGGUUGAGCAAAGUGAAACAGCUGCUAACUAUGUGAAAGCUGUUGAUGAAGAAAGUUUCAACUCUCUUAACAAUUUUAAUGGGGCAGUCCAUUCAACACAGAAUGGAAAACCAUUUUCAGAAUCUCAUCAGGCUACCUUUCAUAAUGGUGUUGGUUUUGACAAUGGUAAUGGCCUGUGGUCUGGGGAGCAAGGUUUUGCUAUUGGAGGUCAGGAGUGGCUAAGUCGAAUGAAUGGUUACCUGUCAGAACUGGCUGCUGCAGCCUUCGUUUGUAGAGGUGGUGUUCAAAGAGUUCAUUUGUUGGAUGGAACUAUUAGUGGAGUUCUAUUGUUGGAAUUGUUUAAGAGAGAUGGGAUGGGAACAAUGGUAGCUAGUGACCUUUAUGAAGGCACCCGGAUGGCUCAAGUAACAGAUAUUUCUGGAAUAAAACAACUUAUCCAGCCAUUGGAGGAGUCUGGCAUAUUAGUUAAGCGGACUAAUGAAGAGCUUCUCCAAUCGUUAAGCUCCUUCGUUGUUGUGGAAAGAGAAGGUCAAAUAAUUGCUUGCGCUGCACUUUUUCCUUUCUUUGAGGAGAAGUGUGGAGAGGUUGCUGCAAUUGCAGUAUCUCCCGAUUGUAGAGGUCAAGGACAGGGGGACAAAUUACUUGGUAUGAUUACAUAGAGAAGAAGGCUUCAUCUCUUGGAUUUGAAAUGCUUUUCUUGCUCACAACUCGUACGGCAGAUUGGUUUGUGAGGCGUGGAUUUUCCAAAUGUUCAAUUGAUUCUAUUCCUGAGAAGAAAAGGAAAACAAUUAAUCUAUCCCGCAAGUCUAAGUAUUACAUGAAGAAGCUUCUACCUAAUAAGAGUGGAAUUACAGUUGGUAGCAAAUUUACUUCAUAGUAGCGCCUCUUUUUUUGUCUCACCCUCAAAUCAAUUAAUGAAUAUUGGUUUGCUAGUUGUUACGUAUAGAUGGACUGAUAGUUUGUUCUUUUGUAUCUUUAAAUCAAUAUAAAGAAAUUAACACAGGAGAACAGAGCGUAUUACAUAAAGCAUGAUUCACAAAGUUACUUACUUAAGCAAGCUUUUACUACAAUAGGGCUCUUGGAGCUUUGUAAAUUACAGAGACUUAAAGCUUCAAUCGCACUUAAAUAGGAAGUGUUCCAGCCAAGGGGUGCACUAGGGUUUUUUCCUAGGUCAAGCCUCAAAGUUAGAGCAUUCAAAAGUGUAAUCUGCCUUCUUAGCUUUAGGGUUUUAGGUUUUAUACUUUCUUGUUCAUGGGUCUCAUGGGCCCCGUGAAUGUGGGGAUCUCCUUAACCAUUAUUAUUUGGAUAACACCUGGUUGACGCGGGGAUCUUUGAUCAGGUUCCGACCGACCAAACCUAUACCGAGGGACUAGUCGGAUAUUGGUCGAGCGGGGUCUUAAAGGCGGAGGGGGGAAUCGAAACAGGGCCGAUCUAGUUCAGGAUAGAGUAAGGUCGGAUACCGAUCAGCCUGUGAAGGUAGGCAAAUCGAGAAUCGGGCGAGACGGUACAGGAACCCUGGCACAGCUUUCUGUCUAAUAUUUCAUGUACCGAAAGGGUUUUAAUGAGCAUACUUGUUAUAUUAAUAUCAGGAUUAGUAUUAUAGCAGUCUGGUAGUAUCAUAAAAAAAAUGGUUGUAUACUAUAAAAUAUAUUAUUGACAGUCAGCACAGCACAAUCAUCAUCAUCACCAACAUUUUGAAACAAAGGAGAUUGUACUACGAUUUAAAUGGAAUUCAUGUACUAUUCCAUUAUUUUUAAAUUUUAUUUCAUAUGCUUUAUAUUUUCAUGUA